rnacentral:rRNA from 1 species
GUCGAACGAUGAUGCCCAGCUUGCUGGGCGGAUUAGUGGCGAACGGGUGAGUAAUACGUGAGUAACCUGCCCUUGACUCUGGGAUAAGCCUGGGAAACUGGGUCUAAUACUGGAUACUACCGUCCACCGCAUGGUGGGUGGUGGAAAGGGUUUUACUGGUUUUGGAUGGGCUCACGGCCUAUCAGCUUGUUGGUGGGGUAAUGGCUCACCAAGGCGACGACGGGUAGCCGGCCUGAGAGGGUGACCGGCCACACUGGGACUGAGACACGGCCCAGACUCCUACGGGAGGCAGCAGUGGGGAAUAUUGCACAAUGGGCGGAAGCCUGAUGCAGCGACGCCGCGUGAGGGAUGACGGCCUUCGGGUUGUAAACCUCUUUCAGUAGGGAAGAAGCGAGAGUGACGGUACCUGCAGAAGAAGCGCCGGCUAACUACGUGCCAGCAGCCGCGGUAAUACGUAGGGCGCAAGCGUUGUCCGGAAUUAUUGGGCGUAAAGAGCUCGUAGGCGGUUUGUCGCGUCUGCUGUGAAAGCCCGGGGCUCAACCCCGGGUCUGCAGUGGGUACGGGCAGACUAGAGUGCAGUAGGGGAGACUGGAAUUCCUGGUGUAGCGGUGAAAUGCGCAGAUAUCAUGAG